rnacentral:tRNA from 1 species
GGUGGUAUAGCUCAAUGGCAGAGUAUUUGCCUGGCAGGUAUGAAGCCCUGGGUUGGAUCCCCAGUCCUGCAA